rnacentral:rRNA from 1 species
AUUGAACGCUGGCGGCAUGCCUUACACAUGCAAGUCGAACGGCAGCAUGGGUGCUUGCACCUGAUGGCGAGUGGCGAACGGGUGAGUAAUGCAUCGGAACGUGCCCUGAAGUGGGGGAUAACGUAGCGAAAGUUACGCUAAUACCGCAUAUUCUGUGAGCAGGAAAGCAGGGGACCGCAAGGCCUUGUGCUUUAGGAGCGGCCGAUGUCGGAUUAGCUAGUUGGUGAGGUAAAGGCUCACCAAGGCGACGAUCCGUAGCGGGUCUGAGAGGAUGAUCCGCCACACUGGGACUGAGACACGGCCCAGACUCCUACGGGAGGCAGCAGUGGGGAAUUUUGGACAAUGGGCGCAAGCCUGAUCCAGCCAUGCCGCGUGAGUGAAGAAGGCCUUCGGGUUGUAAAGCUCUUUCGGUUGGGAAGAAAUUGCACUGGUUAAUACCUAGUGUAGAUGACGGUACCAGCAUAAGAAGCACCGGCUAACUACGUGCCAGCAGCCGCAGUAAAAC